GAACUCGCCAUGUGAUAGAAAGUUUACAAACAUGCAUGAAAGGUCAAAGGAGACUAAUUAAUUUUUGUGGACAUUUUAAAUUUUAAAAUGACAAUUUUUUUUUUUUUUUUUUUUUUUUGUAGAUGGAGAGAGUAUUACAUAAUGCAUAAAUUCAUGCUGGAAAUGCUAACUUAUUGAAAUAAUUGUUUUUUUAAUUUUCGUAUUUAUAAAAAGAAAAAGAGACAAGUAGUAGCUAGAUAGGAUCCCAG
rnacentral:lncRNA from 1 species